rnacentral:tRNA from 1 species
CAUUAAGAAGCAAAAUAAGCAUUAACCUUUAAAGUUAAAGAUUGGGAAUUUAAAUCUCCCCUUAAUGA